CAUAAUCUUUUUAUUUUUUUUCUUAAUUUUCAUAGUAAAAAAAUAUUAUUUUCAGAUAAUAACAUAAUAUAUAUAUAUAUAAGAAUUGGCUUGUUAAAAAUAUAUUUUUUAUUUUGACAAUUUAUCUUUAUACAAACUUUUACAUAAUUGAUAAUAAAUUUGAAUUUUUUUAUAUCUUAGUUUUUUAAUUUUUAUAAUAGAAAACAUUAUUUUCAGAUAACAACACAAUAUAUAUAAUAAUUAUCUUUUUUUUAAACAUGUUUUU
rnacentral:lncRNA from 1 species